AGUAGUUUUUGACUAGAGUUUUUUAUAAGAGGGGGUAGUACUUUUAAGCGGAAAGUUGAUAUUUUUUGAUGCUAUAGGGACUGGUAAAGGCGAAGGCAACCUUUUAGGUAAAAACUGACGUCGAAGGACGAAGGCUUAGAUCACGAACAGGAUUUGGCACCCUAGUAGUCUUUGCAGAAAAUGAUGAAUGCCAUAGGGUGGAUUAAUAAUAAAAUCUAUACUAUAAAUGAAAGUGUAAGCAUUUCACCUCAAGAGUAAGACGGCAACGUAGGAACUG
rnacentral:rRNA from 1 species